AAUGAACGCUGGCGGCAGGCCUAACACGUGCAAGUCGAACGGAUCCUUCGGGAUUAGUGGCGGACGGGUGAGUAACGCGUGGGAACAUACCCUUUGGUACGGAAUAGCCUCGGGAAACUGAGAGUAAUACCGUAUGUGGUCGAGAGACGAAAGAUUUAUCGCCAAAGGAUUGGCCCGCGUUGGAUUAGGUAGUUGGUGGGGUAAUGGCCUACCAAGCCGACGAACCAUAGCUGGUUUGAGAGGAUGAUCAGCCACACUGGGACUGAGACACGGCCCAGACUCCUACGGGAGGAAGGAGUGGGGAAUCUUAGACAAUGGGGGAAACCCUGAUCGAGCCAUGCCGCGUGAUCGAUGAAGGCCUUAGGGUUGUAAAGAUCUUUCAGGUGGGAAGAUAAUGACUGUACCACCAGAAGAAGCCCCGGCUAACUCCGUGCCAGCCGCCGCAGUAA
rnacentral:rRNA from 1 species